GUGAAUCUUGUUUGAGUAUGAAAUUAAUUUCAUGUAGAACUCUUAUAAGAUAAUAUUGUAAUUUUAAUCGAAUUAGGAGUUGGAAGUAGUGUCUUAAUAGGAGAUGAUUUUAGCAUUGGAUUAGAACUGGAUUUUCGAUAACCAAGUCUAAAUAAUUAUACUCAGAUGUCCCCACAACGUCAGUUUUUAAUUGAUAGGGUCUCUUGGUGUGGUAAAUUAAUUACGCUAAGAUAGACUGAGACUAUGAAUUGAUUGCUGAAUGGUUGUGACCCGAAGACUAGAAUGCCCACCAAGUGUAAAUUACAUCCUAUUACCAUGUCUAGAAUCAGUUUGCAAUUUUUUGGGCUAUGGCUGGAGAAUGUACUUGGCACCUUUCUAUUGAAGUUUUGUGCCACAUAGGCAUGUCAAUUUCAUUGAUUUUUGCAUAGGCAUACUAAUGUCGUGGUUGAGGCUCACUCGAUGUAUCUGUCAGCUGUAGGAACGUUGAUUUCCUGUUUGAGGCUAACUCUCAGUAUUGUUUGCCACAUGGGUGAGUUUUGCAUUGGAUAUUUGAGCAUAAUGAAUGUGUGGCUAAGUAUAUGUUAGUUCUGAAUUCGUUCUUAGGGCAUGUGGAACGGAGAAUUAUAUAGAAUGUUUUGAUACUUCUUUGAGGAUGCCAUGUUGCUUCGGAACCCUGAGAAAAUAGGAUCAAUUAUUGAUCUUUCAGAUAUAAUGAAAGGCAUAAAUGUAAGAUGCAUUUUCCAUUGUUGAGGAGACUGUUCAUUGUAAAUUUAGUGUUCCAUGUUUUUGAAGUGAAAUUACUAAGUAUUUCACUUGAAACACUUUGGCUUUUGCUUGAACUUCAAUUGUAUAUGAGUUUUAAUUGAAUAUCAAUUUUUUGGUGUGCCAAUUUCUAAUUUUGAUGAGUGGAUACUCCUUUG
rnacentral:misc_RNA from 1 species